ACUCCUACGGGAGGCAGCAGUGGGGAAUAUUGGACAAUGGGCGCAAGCCUGAUCCAGCCAUGCCGCGUGGGUGAAGAAGGCCUUCGGGUUGUAAAGCCCUUUUGUUGGGAAAGAAAAGCAGUCGGUUAAUACCCGAUUGUUCUGACGGUACCCAAAGAAUAAGCACCGGCUAACUUCGUGCCAGCAGCCGCGGUAAUACGAAGGGUGCAAGCGUUACUCGGAAUUACUGGGCGUAAAGCGUGCGUAGGUGGUGGUUUAAAGUCUGUUGUGAAAGCCCUGGGCUCAACCUGGGAAUUGCAGUGGAUACUGGGUCACUAGAGUGUGGUAGAGGGUAGCGGAAUUCCCGGUGUAGCAGUGAAAUGCGUAGAGAUCGGGAGGAACAUCCGUGGCGAAGGCGGCUACCUGGACCAACACUGACACUGAGGCACGAAAGCGU
rnacentral:rRNA from 1 species